AUCCACGACUAAAUCAUUGAGGUCUGGCAAUGUACUUCCUACUGUCUGUAUAAUUUGCAAGAGGGCUGACCGCUUUGUGAAAGAAGGACACAAGACAAAGAAAGAAAAAAUGGUCCAAGCAGAAACUAUAAAUGCUGGGAGUUUGGUUAAAGCAACUGAACUGCAAAUGGACGAAUCCAUCCUCAAGGAUGUAAGUGGAAAAGAUGCUACAAAGAAUAUACAAGAUUUCUGGGGGCUACAACAAGUGAUGAAAGGAUGCCAGAAGCCUGGGAGUAUGCCACUGUGUACACAGAAUUAAUUUUGUGA